rnacentral:rRNA from 1 species
GACGAACGCUGGCGGCGUGCUUAACACAUGCAAGUCGAACGGAAAGGCCCUGCUUUUGUGGGGUACUCGAGUGGCGAACGGGUGAGUAACACGUGAGUAACCUGCCCUUGACUUUGGGAUAACUUCGGGAAACUGGGGCUAAUACCGGAUAGGAGCUCCUGCUGCAUGGUGGGGGUUGGAAAGUUUCUGCGGUUGGGGAUGGACUCGCGGCUUAUCAGCUUGUUGGUGGGGUAGUGGCUUACCAAGGCUUGGACGGGUAGCCGGCCUGAGAGGGUGACCGGCCACAUUGGGACUGAGAUACGGCCCAGACUCCUACGGGAGGCAGCAGUGGGGAAUAUUGCACAAUGGGCGGAAGCCUGAUGCAGCAACGCCGCGUGCGGGAUGACGGCCUUCGGGUUGUAAACCGCUUUCGCCUGUGACGAAGCGUGAGUGACGGUAAUGGGUAAAGAAGCACCGGCUAACUACGUG